AUUUCUAAUUAGCAAACCCGUCGAAAGACGGCGGCGCAAAGCCACGGGUCUACGGUUCUUGAACUAUGACCGCCGGGUUGCAGCA
rnacentral:ncRNA from 1 species